UAUACUGUCUCCUUUUUCUAAUCAGUGAAACUAAUUUUCCCGUGAAGAAGCGGGGAUAUAACUAUAAGACGAGAAGACCCUAUGGAGCUUUAAACAACCCAGCAAUUACUUCUAAAAUUGUAAAUUUCAGAAUAUUCAUUUCUUAAGUAAUAUGUCUGCAAGUUUUUGGUUGGGGUGACCAUGGAGAAUAACAUAACCUCCAUAUUGAAUGAAUUCCCUUCUAAGCUGAAAAUUACCAAUUGAAGCAUCAACAUACUGACAUCUAUUGACCCAAUAUAUUUGAUCAACGAACCAAGUUACCCUAGGGAUAACAGCGCAAUCCACUUCAAGAGCCCCUAUCGACAAGUGGGUUUACGACCUCGAUGU
rnacentral:rRNA from 1 species